rnacentral:rRNA from 1 species
UACGAAGGGGGCUAGCGUUGCUCGGAAUUACUGGGCGUAAAGCGCACGUAGGCGGCUUUCUAAGUCGGGGGUGAAAUCCUGGAGCUCAACUCCAGAACUGCCUUCGAUACUGGAAAGCUCGAGUCCGGGAGAGGUGAGUGGAACUGCGAGUGUAGAGGUGAAAUUCGUAGAUAUUAGCUAGAACACCAGUGGCGAAGGCGGCCAACUGGUCCGGUACUGACGCUGAGGUGCGAAAGCGUGGGGAGCAAACAGG